rnacentral:rRNA from 1 species
UGUGGCGAAGGCGCUCGGCUGGAACGGGUCGACGGUGAGGGACGAAGGCCUGGGGAGCGAACCGGAUUAGAUACCGGGUAGUCCAGGCUGUAAACGAUGCGGGCUAGGUGUCACCGGAGCUACGAGCCCCGGUGGUGCCGGAGGGAAGCCGUUAAGCCCGCCGCCUGGGAAGUACGGCCGCAAGGCUGAAACUUAAAGGAAUUGGCGGGGGAGCACUACAACGGGUGGAGCCUGCGGUUUAAUUGGAUUCAACGCCGGGAAGCUUACCGGGGGAGACAGCGGGAUGAAGGUCGGGCUGAAGACCUUACCAGACUAGCUGAGAGGUGGUGCAUGGCCGCCGUCAGUUCGUACUGUGAAGCAUCCUGUUAAGUCAGGCAACGAGCGAGACCCGCGCCCUCAGUUGCCAGCGGGUCCCUUCGGGGACGCCGGGCACACUGAGGGGACUGCCGGCGCUAAGCCGGAGGAAGGUGCGGGCAACGGCAGGUCCGUAUGCCCCGAAUCCCCCGGGCUACACGCGGGCUACAAUGGCCGGGACAAUGGGUACCGACCCCGAAAGGGGUGGGUAAUCUCCUAAACCCGGUCUAACCUGGGAUCGUUGGGCUGCAACUCGCCCUCGUGAACCUGGAAUCCGUAGUAAUCGCGUCUCAAAUG